rnacentral:hammerhead_ribozyme from 1 species
AUCCAGGGGACGAGUCCCAAAUAGGACGAAAUGCGCGUUAUCCUGGAU